GGCUAUGCGGUGAGCAUAGAGCGAACUAUUCUUUCGCCUUUUACUAAAAAAUACCGUGUGCUCGUCGCUUAUGGCAGCGUACGCCUGUUUUUGGAGGCCAAAUUCCUUUACAGGAAUG
rnacentral:snRNA from 1 species